rnacentral:rRNA from 1 species
GACGAACGCUGGCGGCGUGCUUAACACAUGCAAGUCGAACGGAAAGGCCCUGCUUUUGUGGGGUGCUCGAGUGGCGAACGGGUGAGUAACACGUGAGUAACCUGCCCUUGACUUUGGGAUAACUUCAGGAAACUGGGGCUAAUACCGGAUAGGAGCUCCUGCUGCAUGGUGGGGGUGGGAAAGUUUCGGCGGUUGGGGAUGGACUCGCGGCUUAUCAGCUUGGUGGUGGGGUAGUGGCUUACCAAGGCUUUGACGGGUAGCCGGCCUGGGGGGGUGACCGGCCACAUUGGGACUGAGAUACGGCCCAGACUCCUACGGGAGGCAGCAGUGGGGAAUAUUGCACAAUGGGCGGAAGCCUGAUGCAGCAACGCCGCGUGCGGGAUGACGGCCUUCGGGUUGUAAACCGCUUUCGCCUGUGACGAAGCGUGAGUGACGGUAAUGGGUAAAGAAGCACCGGCUAACUACGUG